UACGGAGGGAGCUAGCGUUAUUCGGAAUUACUGGGCGUAAAGCGCACGUAGGCGGCUUUGUAAGUAAGAGGUGAAAGCCCAGAGCUCAACUCUGGAAUUGCCUUUGAGACUGCAUCGCUCGAAUCGCGGAGAGGUGAGUGGAAUUCCGAGUGUAGAGGUGAAAUUCGUAGAUAUCGACAGGAACACCUGUGGCGAAAGCGGCCCUCUGGACGAACACUGA
rnacentral:rRNA from 1 species